rnacentral:rRNA from 1 species
CAAGGCUUGACAUAUACGAGAACGGGCCAGAAAUGGUCAACUCUUUGGACACUCGUAAACAGGUGGUGCAUGGUUGUCGUCAGCUCGUGUCGUGAGAUGUUGGGUUAAGUCCCGCAACGAGCGCAACCCUCGUUCUAUGUUGCCAGCACGUAAUGGUGGGAACUCAUGGGAUACUGCCGGGGUCAACUCGGAGGAAGGUGGGGAUGACGUCAAAUCAUCAUGCCCCUUAUGUCUUGGGCUUCACGCAUGCUACAAUGGCCGGUACAAAGGGCUGCAAUACCGUGAGGUGGAGCGAAUCCCAAAAAGCCGGUCCCAGUUCGGAUUGAGGUCUGCAACUCGACCUCAUGAAGUCGGAGUCGCUAGUAAUCGCAGAUCAGCAACGCUGCGGUGAAUA